rnacentral:tRNA from 1 species
GUCAAAAUGGCCGAGUGGUGUAAGGCGCCAGACUCAAGUUCUGGAGCACGUAUGUGGGCGUGGGUUUGAAUCCCACUUCUGAUA